UACAUAGGGGGCAAGCGUUAUCCGGAAUUAUUGGGCGUAAAGGGUGCGUAGGCGGCCAUUUAAGUCUGGGGUGUAAGUGCAGUGCUCAACGCUGUGAUGCUCUGGAAACUGGAUGGCUAGAGACAGAUAGAGGCAAGUGGAAUUCCAUGUGUAGCGGUAAAAUGCGUAAAUAUAUGGAGGAACACCAGUGGCGAAGGCGGCUUGCUGGGUCUGAUCUGACGCUGAGGCACGAAAGCGUGGGGAGCAAACA
rnacentral:rRNA from 1 species